rnacentral:rRNA from 1 species
UACGAAGGGGGCUAGCGUUGCUCGGAAUCACUGGGCGUAAAGGGUGCGUAGGCGGGUCUUUAAGUCCGGGGGGAAAUCCUGGAGCUCAACUCCAGAACUGCCUUUGAUACUGAGGAUCUUGAGUUCGGGAGAGGUGAGUGGAACUGCGAGUGUAGAGGUGAAAUUCGGAGAUAUUCGCAAGAACACCAGUGGCGAAGGCGGCUCACUGGCCCGAUACUGACGCUGAUGCACGAAAGCGUGGGGAGCAAACAGG